rnacentral:rRNA from 1 species
UGGGGAAUUUUGGACAAUGGGCGAAAGCCUGAUCCAGCAAUGCCGCGUGUGUGAAGAAGGCCUUCGGGUUGUAAAGCACUUUUGUCCGGAAAGAAAUCCUUGGCUCUAAUACAGUCGGGGGAUGACGGUACCGGAAGAAUAAGCACCGGCUAACUACGUGCCAGCAGCCGCGGUAAUACGUAGGGUGCAAGCGUUAAUCGGAAUUACUGGGCGUAAAGCGUGCGCAGGCGGUUUGCUAAGACCGAUGUGAAAUCCCCGGGCUCAACCUGGGAACUGCAUUGGUGACUGGCAGGCUAGAGUAUGGCAGAGGGGGGUAGAAUUCCACGUNUAGCAGUGAAAUGCGUAGAGAUGUGGAGGAAUACCGAUGGCGAAGGCAGCCCCCUGGGCAAUACUGACGCUCAUGCACGAAAGCGUGGGGAGCAAACAGGAUUAGAUACCCUGGUAGUCCACGCCCUAAAACGAUGUCAACUAGUUGUUGGGGAUUCAUUUCCUUAGUAACGUAGCUAACGCGUGAAGUUGGCCGCCUGGGGAGUACGGUCGCAAGAUUAAAAACUCAAAUGAAUUGACGGGGUCAUA